CACACACAGAAAUAUAAGAAACUCUUCAACAUUCGCCUGCUGAUCCAGAAUGACACAGAAUGGCUCGAACACAAUUAAUUCUCAUUUUUCUGCUUCAGUUUACAGCAGGCAUCAGUGGAGAUCUUGAUCUCUAUUACAGACUUGGAAAUGAUGUCACUCUGCCAUGUGGUGAUGUAUCUUCAUCUGAAACAAUAUGCUCCCUCAUUAGCUGGCUUUACAACAGACGCACAGACUCUCAGACCGCAAUAAAGGUGAAGAAAGGAAAAAUUGAUCAGAACUUACCUGGAGCAGAGAGACUGAGUCUGAGCAGAAACUGCUCUCUGAUCAUCAACAAGGUCACUGCUGAGGAUGCUGGUCGUUACACCUGUCGGUUUGGGGAUAUCACUGAGUUGGACGCAUUUGUCUAUCUAAAUAUCCUGACCAUCUCUCCAUCUCCACCAGAUGCUGAUCCAAAGACAGACGAUGAGGUCACAUUAAAAUGCUCUCUGUUGAGAUACAAUGGAAUCCGUCCUUGUCCACUGAACAGCAUCCGUUGGGUGGAUGAGAAAGGAACUGUGCUGCUUGGUGAAAGUGAUGGGUACAAGUUUAAUGGACAGAUGGACUGUGUUUCUCUUCUGACUGUGAAGCAUCAGAGCAGCCACAACAACAGAAGAUACACCUGCCAGUUUACUGAGAGAAACAAUGUGAAGAUAGAUGCUCACUACCCACCUGUCUUCACAGAUUCCACAGAUCAGUCUCCGACUUCAUCCAUCUACUACAUCAUGUUGAUGCUUCGCAUUGCAACACUGGUCCUGAUGCUUGGAAUCACAGUUGGUGUGAUCACAUAUAGAGGAAGGAAAAAGCUCCCUGAAGACACCAAUGUGAGUUAAAAAGAACCUAACUGAUCUGAGAGCUGAAGUACUUUUUCCUUUUUAAAUAUGUAAUGUUCAUUUUGUUGCUGACACUGGUGGUGACACAGUCGACUAUGAAAAUGUAGGAGAUCAUUCUGCUGCUGCAGCGCUGCACUGAACUUCAACUUGCUGGGAAACAGGAGCCAUCGCAAAUUAUGUUUAUCUGAUUUUAUAAGUGGCUGAAGCUUUGAGAUCAGAAAUAAGAUUUGCUUUCUCUUCAUGUUGUGUUAUUUGUCUCUCUCUGUCACAUGAUGCCCAACUUCCAUCCUCCCAGUCUCAUAAAGUGAUCUUUAAAUCUUUUGAAUAUUACCCAAAAUACACCGUUAUCCAGUUCAAACAGUAGAUGUUUCAUCCUCUAUAUUGUACUGAACCCCAUUUACUUAGAAUUUGGCAGAAUGUGUACGAUUACUGCAAUGGGCAUCAAUUUAAGGAAGUUCUCAUGUCAAUAAUGUUGUUUCAUUUUGUGUUUCACAGUUGUUGGGUUCAGGAAAUUGUGUAACAAUUAGUCUGAACUGGCCUCACUUGUGUCACAUCAUUUGAGGAAGCCAAAUAAUAAAUAUAAGUAAACAUAAACUUCUUCCUUGUAACUGUGAUCGAUUAACAUAAAAUAAACCUUAAAGCUACAUUUCCUGUCACUUUGUAUAAAUCCAAUGCAGAAUUUGUUAAUCCUGCUGCUUCCUCCUCUUUCCUGUCUGUCCUCAGCUCCUCUAACAAGACAAGCAAGGACUUCAUGAGCACACAAAGAGGGUAAAUUAGUAUCUGUGAGGAGGUGAAGUUCUUGUCCAUUGAAAUCAGUGUUCACAGAGCAGACUACAGGCAGUAGAAAUAAGGACUGUUCCUGACAACAGAUUUCAAGGUUUACAGUGCUGCUGUAUUUGUCAUUUGCUGUGAAAGGCCUCUAAAGUUGUACCAGUUUUUGCCAGUUGACCAUUCUGGAUGUUUCUGACUCCUCCUGUCCAUUCAAUCCACCACAUCACGUUGGUGAGCAGGUCGUGGACAAUCUUUGAUGGUGUGUGUGGUGGAAAGUGACAUCUGCAUAUAAUGAAAUAACUCCUCCACAGAUGGCUGCUUUGUUUUUGUUUCUCUGUUUGCUGUAUUUUAAUAUUUUGUGGUGAUGAAAGAAACAAAUCUUUCUGAAGCAACGGACCACUUUAAAACCACUGAGGUGAAAAUAGUUCACUGCUGUGGAUCUUUGAUACAGUUAAUAUGGUGACAUCUGCUGUCCAACACUUAACACUGCAUUUUAAUGUCAGUGAUUGAGGGCAAGAUGCCAUGAAACAGUGAUGAUCAUUAAUUCUAAUUACACAAUAAAGUUGUACAGAAUA